AGUGGCCUGGACGCAGUCUGAUGCAGCAUGCGCGUGAGCGAGCGUCUUCGGGUCUGUAAAGCUCUUUUGUCAGGGAGGAAAGUGUGCUGGUUACUGCCCGCCCCUUGACGGUACCCGCCUAAAAAGCCCCGGCUAACUCCGUGCCAGCAGCCGCGGUAAUA
rnacentral:rRNA from 1 species